CCCUUAGAUGUUCGGGGCCGCACGCGCGCUACACUGAAGGACUCAGCGUGUCUCUCCCCCUAUCCCGAAAGGGAUGGGCAACCCGUUGAACCUCCUUCGUGCUUGGGAUUGGGGUUUGCAAUUAUCCCCCAUGAACGAGGAAUUCCCAGUAAGCGCGAGUCAUCAGCUCGCGUUGAUUACGUCCCUGCCCUUUGUACACACCGCCCGUCGCUACUACCGAUUGGAUGGUUUAGUGAGACCCUCGGAUCGGUCCCGACUCGGGGUGGGCUUCUGCCCCGGUCGUGGUUUCGCCGAGAAGACGGUCAAACUUGACUAUCUAGAGGAAGUAAAAGUCGUAACA
rnacentral:rRNA from 1 species